GCUCCAUUUGGUGGUGUGGUUUGUGGGGGUCUAAGUUCUAGGUAAGCAAAUGAUAAUUUUGCUUCUUUGAAAAGAAAAUGCAAGUGUUCAUAUGCGCCAGGUCGCCUGGAUCCUGGCAGGGGGGCCUACAGUCCAAUUGAAAGACAUUCUCUUAUAUCAUUUUUUAAGACCUGUGAGAGUUUUGAUUUCCUUGGAUAAAGGAGAUUUAAGGAAAAGACUGUGUUCAUCUUCUGGAGGCAGGUACCUUCCUUUAGUUUAGUGUCAUAUGUAAACCACAUUAAUGUAAAAUUUGGAAGUUGAUCAAUUGGUAAUAAUCAGGGAGUAUUAUUUUUAACUUUGCCCAUUUACUGUCUGGCUCUUUGUUGAUGAAGGACAUUUUUAAACAUCUUGUAUGGAUCAGGAGGAAACAUAAUUCCUGUGUUCGUAUAAGCAGAAAGAACUCUCUUAUCUAUGGCUGUAAAACCUGUACUACACCUAUGGUAAGUUGAGUAUUUAGUAAUGACCUAUGAUUAGUUUUCGUUUGUUUUAAGUGGAAGGCAAGUAUCUCUGAAAUAUUGUCUCAUACAGUACUAUCAUUGGCAACACUGGAAAAGAUCUUCAUUUUGCUUUCUAUGUUAGUUUUUAAGUUA